rnacentral:rRNA from 1 species
UUGGUGGGGUAGUGGCCUACCAAGGCGACGACGGGUAGCCGGCCUGAGAGGGCGACCGGCCACACUGGGACUGAGACACGGCCCAGACUCCUACGGGAGGCAGCAGUGGGGAAUAUUGCGCAAUGGGCGAAAGCCUGACGCAGCGACGCCGCGUGAGGGAUGACGGCCUUCGGGUUGUAAACCUCUUUCAGCAGGGACGAAGCGCAAGUGACGGUACCUGCAGAAGAAGCACCGGCUAACUACGUGCCAGCAGCCGCGGUAAUACGUAGGGUGCGAGCGUUGUCCGGAAUUAUUGGGCGUAAAGAGCUCGUAGGCGGUUUGUCGCGUCGACUGUGAAAACCUACAGCUUAACUGUGGGCUUGCAGUCGAUACGGGCAGACUUGAGUUCGGUAGGGGAGACUGGAAUUCCUGGUGUAGCGGUGAAAUGCGCAGAUAUCAGGAGGAACACCGGUGGCGAAGGCGGGUCUCUGGGCCGAUACUGACGCUGAGGAGCGAAAGCGUGGGGAGCGAACAGGAUUAGAUACCCUGGUAGUCCACGCCGUAAACGGUGGGAACUAGGUGUGGGGGACUUCCACGUCCUCCGUGCCGUAGCUAACGCAUUAAGUUCCCCGCCUGGGGAGUACGG